AGAACACACUGCAGACUCAUAGUUUCAUUCAGCUCCAUGGUCUGUAUUGUGUCUCAGC
rnacentral:pre_miRNA from 1 species